AGUGAACGCUGGCGGUAGGCCUAACACAUGCAAGUCGAACGGCAGCACAGUAAGAGCUUGCUCUUACGGGUGGCGAGUGGCGGACGGGUGAGGAAUACAUCGGAAUCUACUUUUUCGUGGGGGAUAACGUAGGGAAACUUACGCUAAUACCGCAUACGACCUACGGGUGAAAGCAGGGGAUCUUCGGUCCUUGCGCGAUUGAAUGAGCCGAUGUCGGAUUAGCUAGUUGGCGGGGUAAAGGCCCACCAAGGCGACGAUCCGUAGCUGGUCUGAGAGGAUGAUCAGCCAAACUGGAACUGAGACACGGUCCAGACUCCUACGGGAGGCAGCAGUGGGGAAUAUUGGACAAUGGGCGCAAGCCUGAUCCAGCCAUACCGCGUGGGUGAAGAAGGCCUUCGGGUUGUAAAGCCCUUUUGUUGGGAAAGAAAAGCAGCAGGUUAAUACCCCGCUGUUCUGACGGUACCCAAAGAAUAAGCACCGGCUAACUUCGUG
rnacentral:rRNA from 1 species